GACGAACGCUGGCGGCGUGCCUAAUACAUGCAAGUAGAACGCUGAAGGAGGAGCUUGCUUCUCUGGAUGAGUUGCGAACGGGUGAGUAACGCGUAGGUAACCUGCCUGGUAGCGGGGGAUAACUAUUGGAAACGAUAGCUAAUACCGCAUAACAGUAGAUAUUGCAUGAUAUCUGCUUGAAAGGUGCAAUUGCAUCACUACCAGAUGGACCUGCGUUGUAUUAGCUAGUUGGUGGGGUAACGGCUCACCAAGGCGACGAUACAUAGCCGACCUGAGAGGGUGAUCGGCCACACUGGGACUGAGACACGGCCCAGACUCCUACGGGAGGCAGCAGUAGGGAAUCUUCGGCAAUGGACGGAAGUCUGACCGAGCAACGCCGCGUGAGUGAAGAAGGUUUUCGGAUCGUAAAGCUCUGUUGUAAGAGAAGAACGAGU
rnacentral:rRNA from 1 species